GACCGCUUAGCUCAGUUGGUAGAGCAACUGACUUUUAAUCAGUAGGUCCGGGGUUCGAAUCCCCGAGCGGUCACCA
rnacentral:tRNA from 2 species